GUGCUCACCACAGCUCUAGUCACAGCCAAGGUAUGGAACACCAAGUGUCAUGCUCCAGGCAAGUGCAUAAGAAAAUGUGUUGUGUAUGUACAGCAGCACCAUCCAGCCUCGGAAAGGAAGGAAAUCCGUCAUUUGUCACAGCAUGGAUGAACCUGGAGGACAUCAUGUCAUCUGAAAUAAGCCAGAAAAUCAAGAAUUGCAUGACCUCACUAACAAAUUUAGAGAAACCAAAAAGAAGAGCAGUUACAAGAAGCUAUUAUGGUGGGUGUGGGAGAGAUGUUGUCCUGAG
rnacentral:lncRNA from 1 species